AAGUCGUAACAAGGUUUCCGUAGGUGAACCUGCGGAAGGAUCAUUAUAGGGAGGGGCCUUGAGCCCCAGGGGGCUGCGUCCCCCGUCUCUACACCCGUGAAUAUCUACUCUUCCGUUGCUUUGGCGGGACUUUGGGGUAAUACCUAUGCCAGUGCGCUGGAGAGCGCCCGUCAAUCGCCCCCAACGCUCGUGUUGUCUUUGGUACGUCCGAGUCAUAAUUGAAUUAAAACAAAACUUUCAACAACGGAUCUCUUGGUUCUGGCAUCGAUGAAGAACGCAGCGAAAUGCGAUAACUAAUGUGAAUUGCAGAAUUCAGUGAACCAUCGAAUCUUUGAACGCACAUUGCGCCCCUCGGUACCCCGGGGGGUAUACCUGUUCGAGCGUCAUUGCACCCCUCAAGCGUAGCUUGGUCUUGGGUUUUCGUCCCCUGGGCGUACCUUAAAAGUAGUAGCGGUCCGGAGUGACCUUUGAGCGAAGUAAAGGAGAUCAUCCGCUUUGAAACCUCGCUCCGUGUCCUGCUAAGAUCCAUUCGAUUCAAUGGUUGACCUCGGAUCAGGUAGGGAUACCCGCUGAACUUAA
rnacentral:rRNA from 1 species